UAACACUAAAUCCCAAAGCCACCCACUAUAAGCAGGAGGCAGUGGUACUCUGACCUGUACUGACUGCGGAGCAGCAAAGAAAGAGGAAAUGAUGCAAUGGGAAGGGGAUUUUAUAGUACCUAACUUUUUUCUGAUUGGUUGUUUUUCUGUGCUGCUGUGGAGUUCUAGUAAAGAGAGACUAAAGCAAAUACGAAGCCUCCUGUCAUGUUAUAAAAUUAUUUAAGGUAAAUUACAUCUGUUUGAAAGUGAAACCAGUUUUUUUUUCAUGCAGGCUCUGUCAAUCAUAGCCAGGGGAGGUGUGGCUAGGGCUGUAUAAACAGAAACAAAGUGAUUUAACUCCUAAAGGACAGUGAAUUGAGCAGCGAAAUUGCAGGGGAAUGAUCUAUACACUAAAACUGCUUUAUUUAGCUAAAGUAAUUUAGGUGACUAUAGUGUUCCUUUAAGGAUUACACUAUUCUAACAGUUUAAGAAAGAUAUGAUACAGAUUUUUGCUCCUUUCAUUCCUAUUCAAACAUUUUCUAGUUAUAAAUGUAAUAUCAAUUUCUAAGGACACAACAUGUAUAUAUUUUGGAUUAAUAACGAGAUAGAUGGAGAAGGAAUUACAUCAAAUGAUGACCUAUUUUUUAAUUUAUGGCUCAUGUAACAGUCCAACCAUGCAGUUACAUUUAAUAGUU